rnacentral:rRNA from 1 species
AGAGUUUGAUCCUGGCUCAGGAUGAACGCUGGCGGCGUGCUUAACACAUGCAAGUCGAACGGGAAAUACUUUAUUGAAACUUCGGUCGAUUUAAUUUAUUUCUAGUGGCGGACGGGUGAGUAACGCGUGGGUAACCUGCCCUGUACUGGGGGACAACAGUUGGAAACGACUGCUAAUACCGCAUAAGCGCACGGGAUCGCAUGAUCGUGUGUGAAAAACUCCGGUGGUACAGGAUGGACCCGCGUCUGAUUAGCUGGUUGGUGAGGUAACGGCCCACCAAGGCAACGAUCAGUAGCCGGCCUGAGAGGGUGAACGGCCACAUUGGGACUGAGACACGGCCCAAACUCCUACGGGAGGCAGCAGUGGGGAAUAUUGCACAAUGGGGGAAACCCUGAUGCAGCGACGCCGCGUGAGUGAAGAAGUAUUUCGGUAUGUAAAGCUCUAUCAGCAGGGAAGAAAAUGACGGUACCUGACUAAGAAGCCCCGGCUAACUACGUGCCAGCAGCCGCGGUAAUACGUAGGGGGCAAGCGUUAUCCGGAUUUACUGGGUGUAAAGGGAGCGUAGACGGCAUGGCAAGUCUGAAGUGAAAUGCGGGGGCUCAACCCCUGAACUGCUUUGGAAACUGUCAGGCUGGAGUGCAGGAGAGGUAAGUGGAAUUCCUAGUGUAGCGGUGAAAUGCGUAGAUAUUAGGAGGAACACCAGUGGCGAAGGCGGCUUACUGGACUGUAACUGACGUUGAGGCUCGAAAGCGUGGGGAGCAAACAGGAUUAGAUACCCUGGUAGUCCACGCCGUAAACGAU